AGCACAGCCUUCAGAGCAGCAAGUGAGCAGUGCAGCAGGGCAGGGAAAGAUGCCUUAAACUCCUGCACUGAUCCUCUCCUCCAGAAUCAUUCAGAGGCCUAGAGACUCUGUCCCCUAUGGCUUUCAAAGUGGGAAAUCAAAGGGGAAUGAUGUGCUUUGUUCCACGGGGGAGCGGCAGGAAAGAAUUGGAAGACGUGGAGGGUAAGAGGCCACCUUUUCCCCACCAGAAAAUAGUGUACCCUUUCAGAGAGGAGAGAAUACAGCUAAUAAAACAGGCUGUGGUGCUCAUCAAGCACACCUGUGGUGUUCUUGCGUCCUGAGGAGGCUGUGAGCAGCCACAGCAUCCACCUGUGGCACAACCAGAGACACUUCAGGCACCGGCAGGAAUGACUGGGCACCCUGACAGAGCCUGGGGCCUGGGCCAGAGGAGCAAGCAUCUCUCAGCACCACGGCCUCUCUGUGCCUCACGUUCCCUGUCCCUGAGCCCGCCCCUGUGUCCCCUCUGCCUCUCUUUCACAGAAGGAGGGCUCAGGACUCCAAACCCCAGCGCGUGCAGGCCCUGGGAGCUCUGCCUGCAUCACACAGCACCAGCUGCUUACUGCAGCACAAGGAGCUGAAGCAAUGCCAGCAGAGCAGGAGUGGCCUGGUGGGAUGGGAAGCCAGGCACCCUCUGCACUAGGAAGAGGGGAAAAGGACCACUUACUUAACUGGAAAUUAAUCUCUGUUCUACUGCAGGGGGAAUAAAUUAUAUAAACCCCACAGCUGCUUGGCAUGGCCAGUAUCCUCCAGUGUCCCCACCACAUCCACUGAGCUUGCUUCAGAACAAAUGCCAUUGGCUGGGCAAGGCCCAAACAAGAGAGGAGACCCUUGAUGCUCUCAUGUUGCCAGAGAAGCAGAUGUGGCUCUGUACACGCUCCCAGCUUCCAGGGGCUGAGGAAUGCCAGAGCCACCAGACUCCUGUAACAACUCUGAACUGGAAGCUACAGAGCUGCACUCUAGGGGUGCCCUUUCCAAAGAGGCUGCAGGUGGGGUGAAUGCAGCCACUGCCUGCCCAGUGCCAGCUCACACGGCCUCUGCAGGCCAAGCCACAGCUCCCGGUGCUGCUGCUGCACUGCCAGGCUGCUCUUCUCAGGGCAGCUCCUGGCAAGCAGCACAGAGAGCUGCGUCCUCCCCUGGACACCUCCACAAUGUUCCUGUCUUUGAUUUACACUGGUGUCUUUCAAAAGCCAUGCCUGGCUGAAAAACCAGCAAGCCAACAGACUUCACCUGCAAGCAAGGACUCACUGCUGCAGGGCUUCUUCUGCCCCACCAAAAUACCCACAGUGCUGUGAGAUCAUGACACACCUGUGCUCAGCCUAGAGCCCUUGAGGGAGGCAAUUUCUGAAGAACCAGAGUCGGGUGGGUAGGUGAGGUGUCCCUGUGAAGGUGCUUGUAGAUAGUCACGGGCUCAGUGGGUUUUGUGCCCCAGCUGAUGCCUGCACAGCCGUGGGAGGGUUUGACUCCAGCAAGGAAGGGAAAAGAAACUCGUGGUGCGACAGGUGAAGUGAUUUGUGGUAAAUUAUUAAACGAGAAUAGCCAGCUGGUGUGCAGCACGUGCCAAGGCUAAACACCAAACUCCAGCCUCAGGAAGGGAAAAGGGCCUUGACUGGGGCCUGCACAGAGGUUUUCAGGAAAGCACCCAAAGUAGGUCCUGCUUGUACCUGAGGGUGGUAGCAGGGACACCAGCUCAACUCAUGACUGAACUUUGUCACACAAGGCGGAAAAACCGUGUGACUGUAGCCUUUCACGUCUAGCAAAAGCAAAAUCACGCUGAUUGAUAUUUGUGGAUUGCCUAACAAGGGCUAAGCAAACCUUGGUACAGUACAAACUGCCACACUAUUGAGGAGGCAAAACUGAGCAUCCUGGAUUCUCUGAGAAGAAGAUUUUCUUUUCAAGAAAAGCUUGCUCAGGUGUUUGACUUAUUUUUCAACAUCUCAUCUCAAAAGACCCAAAGGAUGAGAAUAGUGACUGCAGGAACACUUGGCCCCAAGCCCAGCAGAGCAAACCUGCUGUGGGAAAAAGCACCUUUACCUUUUCUUCCACCAUAAAGAAAAAAACCCCAAAUACCUUGA